rnacentral:rRNA from 1 species
UGAAUACGAGACGCUAAGGCGUCGAAGUAGUGUAUGUCAUACUUCCAAGAAAAGCUUGCACUGUCAUAGAUAAAAAACGCCUGUACCAUAACCGACACAGGUGGGUAGGUAGAGUAUACUAAGGGGCGCGAGAUAACUCUCUCUAAGGAACUCGGCAAAAUAACUCCGUAACUUCGGGAGAAGGAGUGCCUUAUUCGUAAGGUUGCAAUAACAAGAUCCAAGCAACUGUUUAUCAAAAACACAGGUCUCCGCUAAGUCGUAAGACGAUGUAUGGGGGCUGACGCCUGCCCAGUGCCAGAAGGUUAAAGAAGUUGGUUAGCAAUUGCGAAGCUGAUAACUGAAGCCCUGGUGAACGGCGGCCGUAACUAUAACGGUCCUAAGGUAGCGAAAUUCCUUGUCGGGUAAGUUCCGACCCGCACGAAAGGCGUAAUGAUUUGGAUACUGUCUCGGAGAGGGGCUCGGUGAAAUAGACUUGUCUGUGAAGAUGCGGACUACCUGCACCAGGACAGAAAGACCCUAUGAAGCUCUACUGUAACUUGAAAUUGAAAUUGGACUUUAUUCGCGCAGUAUAGGUGGGAGGCGUUGAUUAUAAUCUUGUGGGAUUAUUGGAGCCAUCAGUGAGAUACCACUCUUGUAAUGUUAGAUUUCUAACUUUGAAUCAUUAUCUGGUCAAAGAACAGUUUCAGGCGGGCAGUUUGACUGGGGCGGUCGCCUCCUAAACGGUAACGGAGGCGUACAAAGGUUUCCUCUGAACGGUUAGAAAUCGUAUCUAGAGUGUAAAGGCAUAAGGAAGCUUGACUGUGAGACCUACAAGUCGAGCAGGGACGAAAGUCGGUCUUAGUGAUCUGACGGUACUGAGUGGAAAGGCCGUCACUCAACGGAUAAAAGUUACUCUAAGGAUAACAGGCUGAUCUCCCCCAAGAGUUCACAUCGACGGGGAGGUUUGGCACCUUGAUGUCGGCUCAUCGCAUCCUGGGGCGGUAGUACGUCCCAAGGGUUGGGCUGUUCGCCCAUGAAAGCGGUACGCGAGCUGGGUUCAGAACGUCGUGAGACAGUUCGGUCCAUAUCCGGUGUAGGCGUUAGAAUAUUGAGAGGAGCCUUCUUUAGUACGAGAGGACCGAGAAGGACAUACCUCUGGUGUACCAGUUAUCGUGCCAACGGUAAACGCUGGGUAGCUAUGUAUGGAGUGGAUAACCGCUGAAAGCAUCUAAGUGGGAAGCCCACCUCAAGAUAAG